GGCGUGCCUAAUACAUGCAAGUCGAACGCUUUUUCUUUCACCGGAGCUUGCUCCACCGAAAGAAAAAGAGUGGCGAACGGGUGAGUAACACGUGGGUAACCUGCCCAUCAGAAGGGGAUAACACUUGGAAACAGGUGCUAAUACCGUAUAACACUAUUUUCCGCAUGGAAGAAAGUUGAAAGGCGCUUUUGCGUCACUGAUGGAUGGACCCGCGGUGCAUUAGCUAGUUGGUGAGGUAACGGCUCACCAAGGCAACGAUGCAUAGCCGACCUGAGAGGGUGAUCGGGCCACACUGGGACUGAGACACGGCCCAGACUCCUACGGGAGGCAGCAGUAGGGAAUCUUUGGCAAUGGACGAAAGUCUGACCGAGCAA
rnacentral:rRNA from 1 species